UGGUUUCCAUAGCAACAGUGGGCAGUACGGCUGACUUUUUCGCGCACACUUCCGCUCCGGCGCUUUAAACACGUGGGUGCCAUGCCGGAAGUCCGUGUCUGAAAUCCUGCUGCUGAAGAUGAAUGAUGUUGUAAACAGCUUUUAGAUGCAUCAUGCACAGGCUACACGAUAAUGGACCAGCAGAAAGCGGGCAGAUACAAUGGGAAGAGCUGGUGGAGAAUCUUGGGAACAUCCCACCAUUGUUGCUUCAGAACGUAACCACGUCCCUGACUAUCACAGUCUGACUCAUCAAGAAAUUUUGCAUCAUCUGUACACAGAAACCAUUUCGCAGGACUUGAGGUCCUGCAUGUUACGCCAGGAGGACGAUAUUCAGCCUGUGGUUGAAAAAAAAGAGAUUCUUAUAUGAUCAAUGAAAUAUUCUGUGAAUAUAUCAGCAAAGAAUAUGAAGACGAGCUGUAUGUGGCACAAAAGAAGAAACGAGAACUAAAGCAAAAAUUUAAUUUUUCAAAAAAAAGAAGAAGGAGGCGGCUCCUGAGUGCCUCUGACUGGGGCCGAAUCUCCGCAUUCAAACCCUGCGUUAGUUCCCUUGAUUCUGUGCUUGUGUUUUACAGGGAUGUAAUACAGAAGCAGUGCCAAGUUUGCAGCACGGGUCUGCUUUAUUUUCUGAGACCAGCAUUGCCUGUCCGGCCGACAACAUUUUAUUUUAUCUACACUGACUGGACACAUUUUAGGAGGCAAAUAAAUCAUACACGUUAUACAUUUCCUACUGGAUCCUCACCAUUCACCCCUACAAAUAUACUUCUCCCUUAAAGGGAAAAUUAACCACCCCCCUUAUUUCACAUGAGUUUAGUUAUGUAGGAAAGGUGUUCUUGCUAGGAACAUGGGUUUAAAAGAGAAGGAAAGCUACUGAGGCAUUUUAUUGCCAAUAGAUUAGCUGCAAUAGUGCAAGCUGGAAUGCUAUAUUUAUUCUGUAGAAUGCUUUACCAUAU